AGUGAACGCUGGCGUUAGGCCUAACACAUGCAAUUCUAACGGCUGCACUGUAAUAGCUUGCUCUUUCGGGUGGCGAGUGGCGGACUGGUUCUGUAUACAUCCGAAUUUACUUUUUCUUUGGGUCUCACGUAGGGUAACUUACGCUAAUACUCCAUCCUACCUACGGUUGUAAGCAUGGGAUCUUCGGCACUUGCAUUAUUGUAUGUGCCGAUGUCUGAUUAGCUAGUUGGCGGGUUAAAGGCCCACCAAGGCGACGAUUCGUAGCUGGUCUGAGAGGAUGAUCAGCCACACUGGAACUGAGACACGGUCCAGACUCCUACGGGAGGCAGCAGUGGGGAAUAUUGGACAAUGGGCGCAAGCCUGAUCCAGCCAUACCGCGUGGGUGAAGAAGGCCUUCGGGUUGUAAAGCCCGUUUGUUGGGAAAGAAAAGCAGCAGGUUAAUACCCCGCUGUUCCGACGGUACCAAAAGAAUAAGCACCGGCUAACUUCGUG
rnacentral:rRNA from 1 species